GCUCCGGUGGCCUAGUGGUUACAGCGACUACCUUGGAUGCAGGAGGUCGCUGGUUCGAAUCCCGGCUGAGUA